rnacentral:rRNA from 1 species
GAUGAACGCUAGCGGCAGGCUUAACACAUGCAAGUCGAGGGGUAGAGGAAGCUUGCUUCCUUGAGACCGGCGCACGGGUGCGUAACGCGUAUACAAUCUACCUUUUACAGAGGGAUAGCCCCAGAGAAAUUUGGAUUAAUACCUCAUAGUAUUUUCGGAUCGCAUGAUUUGAUUAUUAAAGUUCCAACGGUAAAGAUGAGUAUGCGUCCCACUAGCUAGAUGGUAAGGUAACGGCUUACCAUGGCAAUGAUGGGUAGGGGUCCUGAGGAGGGAGACUCCCCACACUGGUACUGAGACGA